rnacentral:rRNA from 1 species
CCUACGGGGGGCUGCAGUAGGGAAUCUUUCACAAUGGGCGAAAGCCUGAUGGAGCAACGCCGCGUGCAGGAUGAAGGCCUUCGGGUUGUACACUGCUUUUAUAAGCGAGAAAUAUGAUGGUAACUUAUGAAUAAGGAUCGGCUAACUACGUGCCAGCAGCCGCGGUCAUACGUAGGAUCCGUGCAUUAUCCGGAGUGACUGGGUGUAAAGAGUUGCGUAGGUGGCAUAAUAAGUAGCUAGUGAAAUCUGGUGGCUCAACCAUUCAGACUAUUAGCUAAACUGUUAAGCUCGAGACCGUUAGGGGUAACUGGAAUUUCUAGUGUAGGAGUGAAAUCCGUAGAUAUUAGAAGGAACACCAAUAGCGUAGGCAGGUUGCUGGGACGGUUCUGACACUAAGGCACGAAAGCGUAGGGAGCAAACGGGAUUAGAUACCCCAGUAGUC